rnacentral:rRNA from 1 species
AUUGAACGCUGGCGGAAUGCUUUACACAUGCAAGUCGAACGGCAGCACGGACUUCGGUCCGGUGGCGAGUGGCGAACGGGUGAGUAAUGUAUCGGAACGUGCCCAGUCGUGGGGGAUAACGUAGUGAAAAUUACGCUAAUACCGCAUACGAUCUAUGGAUGAAAGCGGGGGAUCACAAGACCUCGCGCGAUUGGAGCGGCCGAUAUCAGAAUAGGUAGUUGGUGGGGUAAAGGCGCACCAAGCCAACGAUCUGUAGCUGGUUUGAGAGGACGACCAGCCACACUGGAACUGAGACACGGUCCAGGCUCCUACGGGAGGCAGCAGUGGGGAAUUUUGGACAAUGGGCGAAAGCCUGAUCCAGCCAUUCCGCGUGCAGGAUGAAGGCCCUCGGGUUGUAAACUGCUUUUGUACAGAACGAAAAGGUUUCUACUAAUACUAGGAGCUCAUGACGGUACUGUAAGAAUAAGCACCGGCUAACUACGUGCCAGCCGCCGCCGUAA